AGAGUUUGAUCCUAGCUCAGAAGGAACGCUAGCUAUAUGCUUAACAUAUGCAAGUCGAACAUUAUUUUCGAGGAGCUGGGAAGAAGGAAAAGCGGCUUCUAGCUGAAGGUAGCUUGUCUCACCCAAGAGGUAAAAAAAGUAGAGAACAAAGUGGCAAACGGGUGCGUAACGUGUGGGAAUCUGCCGAACAGUUUGGGCCAAAUCCUGAAGAAAGCUAAAAAGUGCUAUUUGAUGAGCCUGCGCAGUAUUAGGUAGUUGGUCAGGUGAAGGCUGACCAAGCCAAUGAUGCUUAGCUGGUCUUUUCGGACGAUCAGCCACACUGGGACUGAGACACGGCCUGGACUCCCAUGAGGGGUAGCAGUGGGAAAUCUUGGACAAUGGGCGAAAGCCCAAUCCAGCAAUAAAGCAUGGGCGAGGAAGGGCAAUGCCACUUGUAAAGCUCUUUCAUCGAGUGUGCGAUCAUGAUAAGACUCGAGAAAGAAGCCCCAGCUAACUCCGUGCCAGUAGCCGCGGUAAGACAGGAGGGCAAGUGUUCUUUGAAAUGACUGGGCGUAAAGGGCACGUAGGCGAUGAAUCGGGUUGAAAGUGAAAGUCGCUAAAAACUGGCAGAAUGCUCUCGAAACCAAUUCACUUGAGUGAGACAGAGGAGAGUGAAAUUUCGUGUGUAGGGGUGAAAUCCGGAGAUCUAUGAAGAAAGGCUAAAAGCAAAGGCAUCUCUCUGGUCCCUACCGAUGCUGGGGUGCGAAAGCAUGGGGAGCGAAUAGGAUUAGAUACCCUGGUAGUCCAUGCCAUAAAUGAUGAGUGUUCACCCUUGGUCUACGCGGAUCAGGGGCCCAGCUAACGCAUGAAACACUCCGCCUGGGGAGUACGGUCGCAAGACCAAAACUCAAAGGAAUUGACAGGGGCCUGCACAAGCGGUGGAGAAUGUGGUUUAAUUCGAUACAACGCAUAAAACCUUAUCAGCCCUUGACAUAUGAACAACAAAACAUGUCCUUAACGGGAUUUUCAUACAGGUGUUACAUGGCUAUCGUCAGCUCGUGUCGUGAGAUGUUUGGUCAAGUCCUUUAAUGAGUGAAAUCCUCAUUUUGUGUUGCUGAGACAUGCGUCUAAGGAAAAGUUUUGGGUAGAGAAAGACUCGGUAUUCAGGCGAUAUGCCCGGUGGUGUGGUACGUAGUGGGUUUAGUACACCCCGCCAAAAUAAAAUGGCUCCAAAAGAAAGAAAAAGGUGCAUGCCGCACUCACAAAGGACUACCAGUGAUAUACUGGAGGAAGGUGGGGAUGACGUCAAGUCCGCAUGGCCCUUAUGGGUUGGGCCACACACGUGCUACAAUGGCAAUUACAUUAGGAAGCAAGGCUGUAAGGCGGAGCGAAUCCAAAAAGAUUGCCUCAGUUUGGAUUGUUAUCUGCAUCUCGGGAAAAUAAAGUUGGAAUCGCUAGUAAUCGUGGAUCAGCAUGCCGCGGUGAAUAUGUACACCGGUCCUGUACACACUGCCCAUCACACCUUGGGAAUUGGUUUCGCCUGAAGCAUCGGACCAAUGAUCACCCAUGACUUCUGUGUCACACUAGUGCCACAAAGGCUUUUGGUGGGCUUAUUGAUGCAUACCACAGUGGGGUCUUCGACUGGGGGUGAAGUCGUAACAAGGUAGUCAUAGGGGAACCUGUGGCUG
rnacentral:ncRNA from 1 species